AGGGAGCUGUCUGAACUGUUCAUCUUGUACGGUGUUGUUUUGAAGCGUCUGUAUCCACAUCUCAGUCUGUUCAGCUUGACCCAUGCUUCUCUAUUAAGCUUGUACCCAAUG